GAUCCUGGCUCAGAGUUUGAUCAUGGCUCAGGAUGAACGCUAGCUACAGGCUUAACACAUGCAAGUCGAGGGGCAUCAGGAAGAAAGCUUGCUUUCUUUGCUGGCGACCGGCGCACGGGUGAGUAACACGUAUCCAACCUGCCCUUUACUCGGGGAUAGCCUUUCGAAAGAAAGAUUAAUACCCGAUGGCAUAAUGAUUCCGCAUGGUUUCAUUAUUAAAGGAUUCCGGUAAAGGAUGGGGA
rnacentral:rRNA from 1 species